rnacentral:tRNA from 1 species
AAAAAUUUAGUUAAUUUAUAACAUCAAUUUGUCAAAUUGAAAUAAAUAUAUAAAUAUUAGUUUUUA